rnacentral:rRNA from 1 species
GCAAGUCGAACGGUAACAGGCCUAGCUUGCUAGGUGCUGACGAGUGGCGGACGGGUGAGUAACGCGUGGGAAUCUACCUUGUAGUGGGGGAUAACCUGGGGAAACCCAGGCUAAUACCGCAUAAGUCUUAAGAGAGAAAGCUGGGGACCUUCGGGCCUGGUGCUACAAGAUGAGCCCGCGUCAGAUUAGCUUGUUGGUGGGGUAAAAGCCUACCAAGGCCAAGAUCUGUAGCUGUUCUGAGAGGAAGAUC